ACACAAUGGCCAAAUCACACUAUGAAAUAGCUAAACAACUAGAACAUAAUUCUAAAGAAAUUCAAAACUAUUUUGAAGAUUUAUAUGCAUGGCAAAAUAGUAUCAAUGAAAAUGUGGAAACAACUUUAAAUAAUAAAAAAGAAGAACCAUGCAAAAUUAAGAGUACUAAUGAGACUGAUACAAAAGAAUGUAACAACAAAAAAUGCAUGAAAAAAAUAGACACAAGUUUGAAAAGAGAUUGUAACUCUUUAGCCAAUUAUUAUAACGCAUGGGAUAAAUUGGAUAUAAAUAAUGUGAAUAAUGAAGUAAUGGAUACAUAUAAUUAUAAAAUUGUAAAUAAUGAUAAUAAUAACUUGUAUGAUGAUGAUUUUAAAUCAGAAAAAUCAUCUAAAUUCGAUUACGAAAUAAAAAAAAAUAAUAAAACAAUAACGUCUGAAUUGAUUAGCAAAAGAGAAAAAGAAUGUAAAAAAAAAAUAAUAAAAACAGGUUGUAAAGUGUUCGAUAUAUAUUUAAGUAAUAAUGAGAAAGGUAAAAUAAGUUAUAAAAAUAAAGAUUAUAAUAAAUGUUUAGAAUAUUAUAAUGAUAUAAUUAAUUAUAUAGAUUUUGAAUUAAAAUAUAAUAAUAUAUUUACAGAAAUAGAAAAGAAUUGUAAUAACGAAUUACAUAUAAAUAUUAUGUCUUAUAAUUAUUUAUUAAAUGAUAAGAAAAUAGAACAAUUAUUUAUUUUAAGAACUAAAACAUUAAUUAAUAGAUCUUUAGUUUUUCAAAGAUUAUAUUCAUAUCAUGAAAGUAUUAAAGAUUGUACUUGUAUACUUUUAUUUUAUAAAUAUUUUUUUUUUAAUAAAAGCAAAAUUAAUAAUUAUAAUAUAAAUAAUGGUGAUCAUAAUUUUACGAUAAAUAUCAAUUACAUUAUUUUUAAAGCUUAUUAUUUAAGGGGCAUGGCCAGAUAUAAAUUAAGAAUAUAUAAACAUGCUCUAACUGAUUUUAAAGUGUCUAAAACAGUUAUGAAUGAUUAUGAAGAAAAUCAAUGUUCAUCGCUUAAUAUAAAUAAAUCUAUUGAAUUAAUUGAAACU
rnacentral:lncRNA from 1 species